GAUCCUUCUACCUUCAUCUUCCUUUUGGUGUCUUGAAAACAGCCGCAGUACUGUCAUGGUUUUAUCUACGGCCAUGCAUCCUGGAUUUCGAUGGUUCCUUUUUCUUGCGUUUUCUGUCUUUUGUUCCUCCAUACAGCUGAUAUGUAUCUGUAUCUACGAUAGAGCUUGCUAAGUGACGGACUCGGUUCUCUUCUCGCUUUUAGGUUUUGAUUCAGCUUGCACCCUGCAUGGAAGCUUUAGCACUCUAGGGUGAUUUUGUAGGGAAGGGGAGGCCAGCGAAGAACAAGAUCCAUCAGGAACAGGUACAGUGGGUCAGAGCCUUGAGAUGCCUGGAGAUGGGUAUGCAUGGAGAAAGUAUGGGCAAAAGUUCAUUCUAAAGAUAAGAAAGAACAGGUAAACAACUGAACCAACUGCCUUGCUCGAUAUGUAUACGAAAAGAAUGUCUAUCUGGUUUUCCAUGCUUCAUGUUCUUCGCCAUAGAAGCUACUUCAAGUGCCGCGAAGAGGGAUGCAAGGCGAAGAAGAGGGUCGAAUGGCCUCCCUCGGACCCCAGCAACGUCAAGGUCACUUACGACGGAGUGCACCACCACCCAUCGCCACAGCUGCUUUCAGCUUCGUAUCGAGAGGAGCGAGCAGGAAUGGCCAAUAGAUACAAUUUGGUAAUCCAAGUGCUUGGUCCUCCUGGUGAUUCUUCGUGAAGCGCUUUGGCUGAGCAGAUCAUAUCCUGAUAACACACGACAUACACAUACAUAAUGCUCGAUCGACUAGUUCUGGUUGGCUAGCUUGUUUGAGGAGCUCGUUUAUGGUGUUAUUCUAGUCUUAACACAGAAUAUAUACAUCAGUUGUUUUCCUUUUUA